UCUCUCGUUUGUAAUUUUGUACUUUGGGUAUCAGUGAUUGUCAUAUUUUCAGCGUGGAUCAGUUUGAGAACUUCAGUAAGUCUGUGGGACAAUGAAAGCUGCAGACAUUCUACUCUUCAAACUGAGGGACAUCUUGAACACUUGAACUCGUUGCUUGGAUUAACAUAAAACGCGGAAAUUAUCUGAAACAAAUGACCUGAAAAGUCAUUAUACUGCCAAGAGUAUCUUGCAAGUCUAGUUUAGUCUUGUAUAUCUUUAAUAUAAUGCUUUAGCCGAAUAAUCCGCCGGGCCAUAACAUGUUUUCAACCAAGUCUGACUUUGUUGAGGAAGUUGAUAGACGCAUAGCGUGACUCACUGCAUCUUCGAAUUUCAACACCAAGUAUUAAACGAGAAUGGCGGGUUAACGGAACUAGAUUAAAAAGCUACUGUUAAAUAAUAGCAAGAAUGGAUCUUUUAAACUGUAUUAAAGAUUGGCUACAGUGUAUAUACGAAAAAUGACGUCAUUUGUACGAAUCGUACAUCACGUAUCCGAGUCCCUAAGUUCAUGGUCACAUGGAUUUCUUAUACAGUUAUUAUUUCAUAUUCUCAUCAGAAGCAAGAACAAUAUACUGUGAUAUCAUUAGCAACCGAUAGAUUUUCAAUUGGCAACUGAUGCCUUCAGAUUAAAGAAUUAUGUGCAAUGAAUCAACCGGGUGAGUUUCAAUACCUGAAAGAAGAAAGGAUAGGAAGUGAAAGUCUUCUAUGGAGGCUUAAUGGAUUUGAACUCGCCAUCGCCACUUCGGGUAUCGACUGAAUCUCACAUUCCUCAACAAUCGAUUUUCCGAAAAUUCUACCCUAUUUAGCCAGUUCAGCGGACAGUAAUGUUGCCAGCUACUUGUAGAAAAUUGUUGAGUAAUGGUUUUCCAAGCGAACGGGAACAGAAUAUGAUUCGUUAUAGACAGUGUCAAUCUCCCAAUCCCCGGCCCUUGGAUAAACCAUGAGGGGGUCCCGUGACCGAACUCUAUACCUCGCAACGACAAAAUGAAAAAUAAAAAUUCCCCUUAAAAAUUG